rnacentral:lncRNA from 1 species
GGAGCGCUAAGAAAGAGAAAGCGUUAUCGCUAUACGAAAUGAAGCAGUGGCUAGCACACUAUGAUAAACCAUUUGGUUUAAAAAACUGCUUAGUGGCGUGUGAUUUCAACACUGUUCCAGAGGUAUAUGACAAAAAUUGUAUCAGAGACCUUGGUAGAACCACCCGAGAAACCAGCCCAGACAGGGCCCUUUACUAGGCCUCACAGCCAAAUCACACACAUAAGAACUGACACAAAAAAAGAAUCCCUUAAAAAAGACAGGAAAAAAAGAAAGAAAACACACAAAAUGCUACUGUACUUUCUUUGUCCCUUCGAACGAGAAAACGAGCGUACAUUUGGAAGGAGAGGGGAAAUAUCUAGUACUCCCAAGAGGUGUUCCCCAUGCUCCAACUUCAAAUAAAUCAAUUUUAAAUGUUUUAAAAAUUUGUGGAAAAAAUAUGCAUGAUUACAAGGAAUGUGACUAUAACUCCUAAAAAUUUCAAGUCCAAAUUCUAAAUGCACAUUGAGAAACAAAAAUGUGAAAUCCAGCAUGAAUAGUGUCAUAAAAAACAAAAGCAACAUUUGACGCUAUUCAUAUCUGAAUUUGUCUUUUUUGUUUCUCAAUGUACAUUUCAAGUUUGGACCUGAAAUUUUUAGGGGGUGUAGUCAUAAUCCUUUUGAACAUUCACAAUUUUUUUUCAAAAUUUUUGAGACAUUUAAAAUUGAUGUUUUAAACUUGUAGCAUCGGGAGCACCCCGAGUAUGGUAACACCUGAGAUAUCGGCGUUUGCCCGAGGGCAAGGUGGCGAAGGAAGCGGAGGCGGCGACGCACAGGUGGCGAACAACGAUGAGGAAUGACCAGCCAUCGUUUCCCUGGAGGCUUCCAUCGAGCGAACAAUUGGGGUGGAGCGCUAAGAAAGAGAAAGCGUUAUCGCUAUACGAAAUGAAGGAGUGGCUAGCACACUAUGAUAAACCAUUUGGUUUAACAAAACUGCUUAGUGGCGUGUGAUUUCAACACUGUUCCAGAGGUAUAUGAAAAAAAUUGUGUGAGAGGCCUUGGUAGAACCACCCGAGAAACCAGCCCAGACAGGGCCCUUUACUAGGCCUCACAGCCCAAUCACACACAUAAGAACUGACAAGAAAAAAAAAAUCCCUUAAAAAAG